rnacentral:rRNA from 1 species
UACGGAAGGCAGCAGUGGGGAAUUUUGGACAAUGGGCGCAAGCCUGAUCCAGCCAUGCCGCGUGCGGGAAGAAGGCCUUCGGGUUGUAAACCGCUUUUGUCAGGGAAGAAAAGGUUCUGGUUAAUACCUGGGACUCAUGACGGUACCUGAAGAAUAAGCACCGGCUAACUACGUGCCAGCAGCCGCGGUAAUACGUAGGGUGCAAGCGUUAAUCGGAAUUACUGGGCGUAAAGCGUGCGCAGGCGGUUAUGCAAGACAGAGGUGAAAUCCCCGGGCUCAACCUGGGAACUGCCUUUGUGACUGCAUGGCUAGAGUACGGUAGAGGGGGAUGGAAUUCCGCGUGUAGCAGUGAAAUGCGUAGAUAUGCGGAGGAACACCGAUGGCGAAGGCAAUCCCCUGGGACCUGUACUGACGCUCAUGCACGAAAGCGUGGGGAGCAAACGAGGAUUAGGAUA